rnacentral:rRNA from 1 species
CGGAGAUAUCAUUUUCGAAGCGAUUAGUUUACUAAGAGUGGAGAUGUUGCUAUCUUAGUGGCGGACGGGUGAGUAACGCGUGGGUAACCUGCCUUAUACAGGGGGAUAACACUUAGAAAUAGGUGCUAAUACCGCAUAAGCGCACAGCUUCGCAUGAAGCAGUGUGAAAAACUCCGGUGGUAUACGAUGGUUCCGCGUCUGAUUAGCUAGUUGGCGGGGUAACGGCCCACCAAGGCAGCGAUCAGUAGCCGGCCUGAGAGGGUGAACGGCCACAUUGGGACUGAGACACGGCCCAAACUCCUACGGGAGGCAGCAGUGGGGAAUAUUGCACAAUGGGGGAAACCCUGAUGCAGCGACGCCGCGUGAGUGAAGAAGUAUUUCGGUACGUAAAGCUCUAUCAGCAGGGAAGAAAAUGACGGUACCUGACUAAGAAGCCCCGGCUAACUACGUGCCAGCAGCCGCGGUAAUACGUAGGGGGCAAGCGUUAUCCGGAUUUACUGGGUGUAAAGGGAGCGUAGACGGCAGCGCAAGUCUGGAGUGAAAUGCCGGGGCCCAACCCCGGAACUGCUUUGGAAACUGUGCAGCUUGAGUGCGGGAGAGGUAAGUGGAAUUCCUAGUGUAGCGGUGAAAUGCGUAGAUAUUAGGAGGAACACCAGUGGCGAAGGCGGCUUACUGGACCGUAACUGACGUUGAGGCUCGAAAGCGUGGGGAGCAAACAGGAUUAGAUACCCUGGUAGUCCACGCCGUAAACGAUGAUUACUAGGUGUCGGGGGACCAAGGUCCUCCGGUGCCGGCGCAAACGCAUUAAGUAAUCCACCUGGGGAGUACGUUCGCAAGAAUGAAACUCAAAGGAAUUGAC